rnacentral:rRNA from 1 species
AACGAACGCUGGCGGCGUGCCUAACACAUGCAAGUCGCGCGAGAAAAGGGGGGUAACUCCCUGAGUAAAGCGGCGCACGGGUGAGUAACACGUAGGUAACCUACCCCCGACGUCCAGGAUAACCUGCCGAAAGGUGGGCUAAUACCGGAUAUGACCACGGGAGGCUUCGGCUCCUGAGGUGAAAGGUGGCCUCUGCUCGCAAGCUACUGCUCGAGGAUGGGCCUGCGCGCCAUUAGCAG